UCACACACCAAGGCUCCAGUUGCAAGAGGAGCGGCAGAAUAGGAUGGCCUUUCUGAACUCCACAAACACCCAAUCGGCUGCCUCCAACUCUUGAGCAAAUCCCCCUUCCUUUUCACCUUCUAAAAAUGGGAAGUAGCAGAGGGUGCGCCGCCCCCGCAUGGAUGCAAAUACGCGAGCAAGUGGUGUCGCCACCGCAGUUCGGGGGUUUUGGUACUUAUUCCAUUGUUUUCCCCGCCUACUCCAUUGAGGCAGGCUUGUUUCUCCAUAAACUCGGAUAUGACGGUGACAGGAAAAGUCCCAUUAGUUUACAUGUUUACCAAGUGAUGUAAAAACGCUUUCUGGAACUGGUUGAGAAGUGUCAGCAGCAGAGAAUCCAACACAGCCAGGCCUCUCCAAGAACACCUAAGUCCCCUGCAAAAAAAAACACCAAUCCCCACCGACAAGGACAUGGAUUAAUCUUCCACAGCGGACAACAGCAUCUUUCUUCACAGAGAAACAUGAUGAACCCGUAGGGGCCCCUUACUUGUCGUCUAGAAGCAGCAAACCGCCCUCCUCCAGCUCUUUCACUUCCUCCGAUUCUCCAAAUGCAUCCCACAGGCUGAAGUCAGGGGCAAA